rnacentral:miRNA from 1 species
UCGGUGGGAUUUUCGUCCGAAUG